GCUAAGUCCGGACCAGAAGCGGCGGUAAUAAGGAGGGUGCAAGCGUUACUCGGAAGUACUGGGCGUAAAGAGCGUGUAGGCGGGUAUAUAAGUCAGAAUUGAAAUCCAAUAGCUCAACUAUUGAACUGCUUUUGAAACUGUAUACAUAGAAUGUGGGAGAGGUAGAUGGAAUUGCUGGUGUAGGGGUAAAAUCCGUAGAGAUCAGAAGGAAUACCGAUUGCGAAGGCGAUCUACUGGAACAUUAUUGACGCUGAGACGCGAAAGCGUGGGGAGCAAACAGGAUUAGAUACCCCUGUAGUC
rnacentral:rRNA from 1 species